rnacentral:rRNA from 1 species
CGACCCGGAGACUGAAGAACGCAGAUGUGCAUUUUAGCAAUACCUCUCGUCAGUGUCCGAGUUGUAAUCUCGAGAAGUGUCUCAAUCUUCUGCCAUCGAGAAGUCUUACGAAUUGCCAGAUGGUCAAGUUAUCACUAUCGGUAACGAGAGAUUCAGAGCUGCUGAGGCUUUGUUCCGCCCAACUGACUUGGGAUUGGAGGCCGUGGGUAUUGACCAAACUACUUACAACUCUAUCAUCAAGUGUGACGUCGAUGUCAGAAAGGAGUUGUACGGUAACAUUGUUAUGUCCGGUGGUACUACUUUGUUCCCAGGUAUUGCUGAGCGUAUGCAAAAGGAAAUCACUGCCUUGGCUCCUUCUUCGAUGAAGGUGAAGAUCAUUGCUCCACCAGAGAGAAAGUACUCUGUCUGGAUCGGUGGAUCUAUCUUGGCCUCCUUGUCUACUUUCCAGCAA